rnacentral:rRNA from 1 species
UGGGGUAAUGGCCCACCAAGGCGACGACGGGUAGCCGGCCUGAGAGGGUGACCGGCCACACUGGGACUGAGACACGGCCCAGACUCCUACGGGAGGCAGCAGUGGGGAAUAUUGCACAAUGGGCGAAAGCCUGAUGCAGCGACGCCGCGUGAGGGACGAAGGCCUUCGGGUUGUAAACCUCUUUCAGCAGGGAAGAAGCGAAAGUGACGGUACCUGCAGAAGAAGCGCCGGCUAACUACGUGCCAGCAGCCGCGGUAAUACGUAGGGCGCAAGCGUUAUCCGGAAUUAUUGGGCGUAAAGAGCUCGUAGGCGGUUUGUCGCGUCUGCUGUGAAAGCCCGGGGCUCAACCCCGGGUCUGCAGUGGGUACGGGCAGACUAGAGUGCAGUAGGGGAGACUGGAAUUCCUGGUGUAGCGGUGAAAUGCGCAGAUAUCAGGAGGAACACCGAUGGCGAAGGCAGGUCUCUGGGCUGUAACUGACGCUGAGGAGCGAAAGCAUGGGGAGCGAACAGGAUUAGAUACCCUGGUAGUCCAUGCCGUAAACGUUGGGCACUAGGUGUGGGGGACAUUCCACGUUUUCCGCGCCGUAGCUAACGCAUUAAGUGCCCCGCCUGGGGAGUACGGCCGCAAGGCUAAAACUCAAAGGAAUUGACGGGGGCCCGCACAAGCGGCGGAGCAUGCGGAUUAAUUCGAUGCAACGCGAAGAACCUUACCAAGGCUUGACAUGAACCGGAAAGGCCUGGAAACAGGUCCCCCACUUGUGGCCGGUUUACAGGUGGUGCAUGGUUGUCGUCAGCUCGUGUCGUGAGAUGUUGGGUUAAGUCCCGCAACGAGCGCAACCCUCGUUCUAUGUUGCCAGCGGGUUAUGCCGGGGACUCAUAGGAGACUGCCGGGGUCAACUCGGAGGAAGGUGGGGACGACGUCAAAUCAUCAUGCCCCUUAUGUCUUGGGCUUCACGCAUGCUACAAUGGCCGGUACAAAGGGUUGCGAUACUGUGAGGUGGAGCUAAUCCCAAAAAGCCGGUCUCAGUUCGGAUUGAGGUCUGCAACUCGACCUCAUGAAGUUGGAGUCGCUAGUAAUCGCAGAUCAGCAACGCUGCGGUGA